rnacentral:rRNA from 1 species
ACGGCUCAGUAACACGUAGGUAACCUACCCUUCGGACGGGCACAACCCCGGGAAACUGGGGCUAAUUCCCGAUAGGUACCCCCUUCUGGAAUGUGGGGAUAUCCAAAGCUCCGGCGCCGAAGGAUGGGCCUGCGGCCGAUUAGGUUGUUGGCGGGGUAACAGCCCACCAAGCCGACGAUCGGUACGGGCAGUGAGAGCUGUAGCCCGGAGAUGGGGACUGAGACAAGGCCCCAGGCCCUACGGGGCGCAGCAGGCGCGAAACCUUCACAAUGCACGAAAGUGUGAUGAGGGUACUCCGAGUGCGCAUACAUUGUAUGUGCUUUUCUGCAGCGUAAAUAGUUGCAGGAAUAAGGGCUGGGCAAGACCGGUGCCAGCCGCCGCGGUAACACCGGCAGCCCUAGUGGUGGCCGCUUUUAUUGGGCCUAAAGCGUCCGUAGCCGGACAGGCGAGUCUUUGGGUAAAUCCUACGUCUUAAGCGUGGGAAUUCUAAAGAUACUACCUGUCUUGAGGCCGGGAGAGGCUGGAGGUACUCCUGGGGUAGGGGUAAAAUCCUAUAAUCCUGGGGGGACCACCGAUGGCGAAGGCACCCAGCUGGAACGGGCCUGACGGUGAGGGACGAAACCCAGGGGAGCGAGCCGGAUUAGAUACCCGGGUAGUCCUGGGCGUAAAUGAUGUGGGCUUGGUGUGAGCGCAUCGACGAGGUGCGCUUGUGCCGUAGGGAAGCCGUUAAGCCCACCGCCUGGGGAGUACGGUCGCAAGGCUGAAACUUAAAGGAAUUGGCGGGGGAG